CAGCAGCCACGGGAAAACGUAGGUGGCAAGCGUUGUCCGGAAUUAUUAGGCGUAAAGCGCGCGCAGGUGGUUUAAUAUGUCUGAAGUUAAAGGCAUUGGCUCAACCAAUGUAUGCUUUGGAAACUGUUAGACUUGAGUGCAGAAGGGGAGAGUGGAAUUCCAUGUGUAGCGGUGAAAUGCGUAGAUAUAUGGAGGAACACCGGUGGCGAAAACGGCUCUCUGGUCUGUCACUGACGCUGAGGCUCGAAAGCGUGGGUAGCGAACAGGAUUAGAUACCCGCGUAGUCCCUGUCUCUUAUACA
rnacentral:rRNA from 1 species